rnacentral:rRNA from 1 species
UACGAGAGGCCCAAACGUUAUUCGGAAUUACUGGGCUUAAAGAGUUCGUAGGCGGCGCAGAAAGUAGGGUGUGAAAGCCCUCGGCUCAACCGAGGAAUUGCGCUCUAAACUGGAUAGCUUGAGUACCAAAGAGGAUCGCGGAAUUCCCGGUGUAGAGGUGAAAUUCGUAGAUAUCGGGAGGAACACCAGUGGCGAAGGCGGCGAUCUGGGUGGAUACUGACGCUGAGGUGCGAAAGCGUGGGGGAGCGAACAGG